GGAACAAGAAGGGUAAUAGUAGAAAUGCAGACCCAGGAGAGGGAACACUGUUCACCAUGUGGUGAGGGGGGUCCCUUGGGCUGCAGGGCCAUCUGUGGCCUGUCCAACAAACAAACCACUUGGACUGCAGCAAUGGAGAAUUCUGAUGACCUGGUUUACAGGUGGUUCCAACAUCUGUCCUCACUGAUCUGCAUGACCACCAUUGUCCCUUCUGUGAAGAAGCUCUUGUGUAGAGAAUAUUUUGGGAAACCUAUUGAUGGCCUAUUUGGGACAUGUCAUAUCAGCUGGAGACUUCAUCUAAAUCUCGUGAAUCAAUAAAACAAACAUUAUUGGGA